rnacentral:rRNA from 1 species
AGAGUUUGAUCCUGGCUCAGAACGUACGCUGGCGGCACGCCUUAUACAUGCAAGUCGAACGAAGUAGCAAUACUUAGUGGCAGACGGGUGAGUAACAUGUAGGUAUCUGUCCUUUGGCCUGGAAUAACACGAGGAAACUUGUGCUAAUACCGGAUAAGUCUUUACGGAGAAAGCUUUAUGCACCAUUGGAUGAGCCUGCACUUGAUUAGUUUGUUGGUGGGGUAAUGGCCUACCAAGACAAUUAUCAAUAGCUGAUUUGAGAGGAUGAUCAGCCACAUUGGAACUGAGACACGGUCCAAACUCCUACGGGAGGCAGCAGUAGGGAAUCUUGCACAAUGGAGGAAACUCUGAUGCAGCGAUGCCGCGUGAGUGAAGAAGGCCUUUGGGUUGUAAAGCUCUUUCGUCGGGGAAGAAAAUGACUGUACCCGAAUAAGAAGGUCCGGCUAACUUCGUGCCAGCAGCCGCGGUAAUACGAAGGGACCUAGCGUAGUUCGGAAUUACUGGGCUUAAAGAGUUCGUAGGUGGUUAAAAAAGUUGGUGGUGAAAUCCCAGAGCUUAACUCUGGAACUGCCAUCAAAACUUUUUAGCUAGAGUAUGAUAGAGGAAAGCAGAAUUUCUAGUGUAGAGGUGAAAUUCGUAGAUAUUAGAAAGAAUACCGAUUGCGAAGGCAGCUUUCUGGAUCAUUACUGACACUGAGGAACGAAAGCAUGGGUAGCGAAGAGGAUUAGAUACCCUCGUAGUCCAUGCCGUAAACGAUGUGUGUUAGACGUUGGAAAUUUAUUUUCAGUGUCGCAGCGAAAGCAAUAAACACACCGCCUGGGGAGUACGACCGCAAGGUUAAAACUCAAAUGAAUUGACGGGGACCCGCACAAGUAGUGGAGCAUGUGGUUUAAUUCGAAGAUACGCGCAGAACCUUACCAACACUUGACAUGUUCGUCGCGACUUUAAGAGAUUAAAGUUUUCGGUUCGGCCGGACGAAACACAGGUGCUGCAUGGCUGUCGUCAGCUCGUGUCGUGAGAUGUUGGGUUAAGUCCCGCAACGAGCGCAACCCUCACUUUUAGUUGCCAUCAUUUAGUUGGGCACUCUGAAAGAACUGCCAGUGAUAAGCUGGAGGAAGGUGGGGAUGACGUCAAGUCCUCAUGGCCCUUAUGUGUUGGGCUACACACGUGCUACAAUGGUAUCUACAACAGGAAGCAAAACAGCGAUGUUAAGCAAAUCCCGAAAAGAUACCUCAGUUCGGAUUGCACUCUGCAACUCGAGUGCAUGAAGCUGGAAUUACUAGUAAUCGUGGAUCAGCGUGCCACGGUGAAUACGUUCCCGGGUCUUGUACACACCGCCCGUCACACCAUGGGAGUUGGUUCUACCUUAAGGCAAGGUUUCAAACCCUUGACCACGGUAUAGUCAGCGACUGGGGUGAAGUCGUAACAAGGUAACC